rnacentral:rRNA from 1 species
UACAGAGGGUGCGAGCGUUGUUCGGAAUUACUGGGCGUAAAGCGCGCGCAGGCGGCUUUUUAAGUCUAUGGGUGAAAGACCGGGGCUCAACCCCGUGUCAGCCCGGGAUACUGGGAGGCUAGGGACAUGUAGGGGCGAGCGGAAUUCCGGGUGUAGCGGUGGAAUGCGUAGAGAUCCGGAAGAACACCGGGGGCGAAGGCGGCUCGCUGGGCAUGGUCCGACGCUGAGGCGCGAAAGCGUGGGGAGCGAACAGGAUUAGAAACCCCCGUAGUCC